GUAUUGUAAUUGGUUAACAUGCUCAGCUGAUACCUGAAAGGUUGGUGGUUCAAAUCCACCC
rnacentral:tRNA from 1 species